rnacentral:rRNA from 1 species
GAUGAACGCUGGCGGCGUGCCUAACACAUGCAAGUCGAACGGAAAGGCCCUGCUUUUGCGGGGUUCUCGAGUGGCGCACGGGUGUGUAACACGUGAGUAACCUGCCCUUGACUUUGUGAUAACUUCAGGAAACUGCGGCUAAUACCGGAUAGGAGCUCCUGCUGCAUGGUGGUGGUUGGAAAGUUUCGGCGGUAGGGGAUGGACUGGCGGGUUACCAGCUUGUUGGUAGGGUAGUGGCUUACCAAGGCUUUGACGGGUAGCCGGCCUGGGAGGGGGAACGGCGACAAUGGGACUAAGGUACGGAGCAGAAGGGAACGGGAGGCAGCGGGCGGAAGUAUGGCACAACGAGCGGAAGCGUGAGACGACAGCCCCGCGAGCGGAAUGACGGCUUUCGGGGUAUGAACCGCUGUCGCCUGAGACGAAGCGGGAGUGACGGUAAUGGGUAAAGAAGCACCGGCUAACUACGUG